rnacentral:misc_RNA from 1 species
AAGUCGUAACAAGGUUUCCGUAGGUGAACCUGCGGAAGGAUCAUUAACACGUGAAAACGUAUUAACCAAUCUACCUUUCUACAACCCGUGAAUUUCACCCCUACCUAUUCAAUUAAUGCUGUUUCAUUUUCGAUAUGUAGUAGGAUAUUGAUUUUUUCUUCGGAAAAGUUGAUAUGCAAUCGUAUGAGACUAAGGUUUCGAACCUAAAGGUAUUUUUGUUUAGGCUUAUUUUUUUUUUCCCUACUACAAAAAAACUAAAACCAACCAAUUUCACCUUUAAAAACAAUUUUGACUGAUGUACGUUGAUAGUAAAGAAAUUUACUGGAUCAACACCAUUUAUCUAAACUAAGCACAACUCUUAGCAAUGGAUAUCUUGGUUCUC